rnacentral:rRNA from 1 species
CCUACGGGACGCAGCAGUGAGGAAUAUUGGUCAAUGGCCGAGAGGCUGAACCAGCCAAGUCGCGUGAGGAGUGACGGCCCUACGGGUUGUAAACCUCUUUUGCCGGGGAGCAAGCGUGCGUUCGUGAACGCGCGUCGAGAGUACCCGGAGAAAAAGCAUCGGCUAACUCCGUGCCAGCAGCCGCGGUAAUACGGAGGAUGCGAGCGUUAUCCGGAUUUAUUGGGUUUAAAGGGUGCGUAGGCGGGAUGCCAAGUCAGCGGUAAAAAUGCGGUGCUCAACGCCGUCGAGCCGUUGAAACUGGCGUU